AGUGAUGAGCUUAAGCGUGGAUCUGCUUUAUAUCUGCAGGAGAUGAAAUUAGGCCUACUGUAUGUCUGGAUCAUCCUUGUAGUAUCAGAUGGUCCCCGCAGGGUUUGGUGCAGGGUUUGGUGCAGGGUUUGGUGCAGGGAAUGGAUGUGGGUGGACUCAGCUUCAUUGUAGAGCAAAAGUCCACCAGCUGACCCGGGACUUCUGCCAGCACACUCUUUGCCAGUGCUUCUCGAGGACCCUGCAGUACGAAAGGAAGAGUUUAAGAAGUACAGUGCAGCGAACAGUGAAGAGACAUUUUUUAAUAAAU